rnacentral:tRNA from 1 species
CAAAGAGUAGCUUAAUAAAAGCAUCUUAUUUACGCUAAGAAAAUAUCUAUUUUGACCCAGAUCUUUUUGA